rnacentral:rRNA from 1 species
UGAAAUCCCCGGGCUCAACCUGGGAACUGCAUUGGUGACUGGCAGGCUAGAGUAUGGCAGAGGGGGGUAGAAUUCCACGUGUAGCAGUGAAAUGCGUAGAGAUGUGGAGGAAUACCGAUGGCGAAGGCAGCCCCCUGGGCCAAUACUGACGCUCAUGCACGAAAGCGUGGGGAGCAAACAGGAUUAGAUACCCUGGUAGUCCACGCCCUAAACGAUGUCAACUAGUUGUUGGGGAUUCAUUUCCUUAGUAACGUAGCUAACGCGUGAAGUUGACCGCCUGGGGAGUACGGUCGCAAGAUUAAAACUCAAAGGAAUUGACGGGGACCCGCACAAGCGGUGGAUGAUGUGGAUUAAUUCGAUGCAACGCGAAAAACCUUACCUACCCUUGACAUGGUC